CAUGGAAGAUUUUGAGCUUUCAGAAGAUAUUGUAACAUGUGAAUUUAUUACUGAAUUUCUAAUAAAUAUGAUGUAAUGUUGUAUAAUUAUGCCUUAUUAAAAAUUGUUUAUUUAAUUAUUUUAGAGUUUCAACAAAUGUCUUUAGCAGCAAAAGGAGUAUCAGGUGUCUCAUCAUCACAGUCUCAGCCACAACCUUCGGGUUGUGCUUGAAAUGGAUGUCAACUAUGUUUUUUGAUUUUUUGGAGUCAUGCAUGAUUUUUUGUUGAUGGUCAACUAUGAUUUUUGAUUUUUUGGAGUCAUGCAUGACCUAUAUAUAUGAGUUUUUAGCCAGUAAGUACCAUUGAUCUAACUUACUGAAGUGAUGAAACGGUUUAUUA